rnacentral:misc_RNA from 1 species
CAGAGUUGCAAAACUCCCGACCAUUGUGAACCUACCUCACCGUUGCUUCGGCGGGUGGCCCGGGGCAACCCAGGCCGCGCCGGCACCCUUCUUCGGGGGGCCCGGCAAGCCCGUCAGAGGACCGAAACCCUGUAAUUACUGGCCUCUCUGAGUAACUUAUACAAUAAGUCA